UACGUAGGGUCCGAGCGUUGUCCGGAAUUACUGGGCGUAAAGAGCUCGUAGGUGGUUUGUCGCGUUGUUCGUGAAAACUCACAGCUUAACUGUGGGCGUGCGGGCGAUACGGGCAGACUUGAGUACUGCAGGGGAGGACUGGAAUUCCUGGUGUAGCGGUGGAAUGCGCAGAUAUCAGGAGGAACACCGGUGGCGAAGGCGGGUCUCUGGGCAGUAACUGACGCUGAGGAGCGAAAGCGUGGGGGAGCGAACAGG
rnacentral:rRNA from 1 species